AUAACAAUACAGGACUUUUUUGAGGCCCUGUAAUUGGAAUGAGUACACUUUAAAUCCUUUAACUGGGAUCUAUUGGAGGGCAAGUCUGGUGCAGAGUGACUGACCAGUGCAUGCUGCAACUGAAGCUCCAC